GCUUACGGCCAUACCAGCCCAAGAACAGCCCGGUCUCGUCUGAUCUCGGAAGCUAAGAAGGCUUGGGCCUGGUUAGUACUUGGAUGGGAGACCUCCUGGGAAUACCAGGUGCUGUAAGCU
ensembl:rRNA 5S_rRNA 5S ribosomal RNA